rnacentral:rRNA from 1 species
UACGGGGGGUGCAAGCGUUGUUCGGAUUUACUGGGCGUAAAGGGCGCGUAGGCGGUCAGCACAAGUCAGUUGUGAAAUCUCCGAGCUUAACUCGGAACGGUCAACUGAUACUGUGCGACUAGAGUGCGGAAGGGGCAACUGGAAUUCUCGGUGUAGCGGUGAAAUGCGUAGAUAUCGAGAGGAACACCUGCGGCGAAGGCGGGUUGCUGGGCCGACACUGACGCUGAUGCGCGAAAGCCAGGGGAGCGAACGGG